CCAGGCCCUGCAAUAAAUGCUGACUACCGCACUUCAGAGAUUAUUUUAAAUAAUGAUAUCUUCGCUGGAUCAAGACGGGAAGGAUUUGAUCCAGAAUGUGAAGGAGAGGUGAGCGGCCCGACGUGCCCCGGCUGGGGAAGCUCAGGUGAGAUUCGCAGCGAAGCUUUCCGUUCUCGCUGCUCCGCACUCCGAGGUGCCCGCGGGCAGCGCCGCAGAACACGGCCGGCUCUGUCCCUGCAGCCCUCCACAGGGGGUUUUGCUGCCCAUCGGGGCAGUUCCCUCUAUCUGACGGUAUCGUUACCACCGCCGAAAGGAAAUGAUAGUGAUGGGGACACUUCUUUCUGGGAGGAAUUGUUGGAUGGAUGUCUGCCUGCUUGCUGUGGCCGGGCAGUGUCACUCGCAGGAGGCCUGCGGCAUCCCCGCUGUACUUCACUUCAUUAUUUUUGCUGUGCGAUGUGAUUAACAGAACGCAGGGGCUUGCUUUGUAGCUGUAAAACAAAGCAAGUAGUGGGGGGGUGCUGCAAGGCCCCGAGUCCUGUUCUGCAGUACAUCUGCACAGCGAACAUCCCAAACCCGGGGAUCUGGGGCACUGAUUAGACACGAAAUUGGUCUUAUUGAAGCCGCCUGACACCAAGUUCGAAGUGCUGCAUGUUAUUUCAUUUUCGUGCAGAAAAGCAACUGGACUUGAAUACACGGGUGUCAUAUAUAUACACAUGUAAUUUCCCCCAGAGAUAACUCUAGAGAUACAAUUCAUACGUCUGUUAACAAUGCUGCCUGCACUGUUGCUUCUGACAGAGAACUGUCAUACCAAGGCCCUUAAAUACGCUUUCUUUUCCCCUCGUUUCGUGGCUGUGGAUAUCCGACAGCCGGAGCACGGCGUUUUCUUGCUUGAAGCGUGCUCACCUUACUACCGUUCGCUUUUCUGCACUCACGAACUCUAGAGAUACAAUUCAUACGUCUGUUAACAAUGCUGCCUGCACUGUUGCUUCUGACAGAGAACUGUCAUACCAAGGCCCUUAAAUACGCUUUCUUUUCCCCUCGUUUCGUGGCUGUGGAUAUCCGACAGCCGGAGCACGGCGUUUUCUUGCUUGAAGCGUGCUCACCUUACUACCGUUCGCUUUUCUGCACUCACGAACGAGGGGCGGU
rnacentral:lncRNA from 1 species